AUAGGGCGAGGCAUAGAGCUGAAGAAAAUAGAGAAUGCAACGGGCAUGGCGUGCCACUUUUUCUCAACGGUGGAAGGUAUUGCUAAAAACGACGAAGGAGCUUUCUAUUCUCUUCUUUGUGAGGCCCCGGCUGCUAGCCUGAGGAUCAAAUUCGUUGCAGUCUUUCGCAAAUGUAUCUGUGGACGUUACAAAAAAAGAGGAUUUCGGAAUUUUGAGUAGGUAUGGUCUUUCUGGACCUGUUGAUUGCAAUCAAACAUUGCUUGUGCUGCUGGUAUUUCUCCUUUGGGCAGCUUUAUUGUAUUCGAUAGCAUAGAGAGGAUCUGCAAGACACCAUCCCACUCAUCUGCAUGGUUGAGGUGUGCAAGACAUUAUCCCACUCAUCUGCAUGGUUGAGCUUAAUAUGCAGAAAAGGACUCAUGGGGAUAAAAAUACAAAAUUUCAGCUUCUGCGCUGUAUGACACCAGUGAUGAAGCCAACUCUGCCAUCAAGAGUUGUUGGGGCUUGGAUCCUAAACCUAUUUGCAAUGACUCAAAUCCUCGACGAUGACACAUUUUAUGGAGAAACUUGUUUUGAUUAUAUUGUGAUGAAAAUCUCGGUCUUGUUCCAAAGCUCUAAUUCUACCGAAAACUAGAAGCGUGCUAUGGGAAACUAUGGAGAUUGAUUUCAUACUUGCCAAUUGCAUUUGGCUGAGUGUAAUCAGAUUCAUAGAGGAAAGUCCUUAGUUUCAAAUGUAAUGUAAUAUCCAUUAUAAGA